ACGCACGCUGGCGGCGUGCUUAACACAUGCAAGUCGCACGGUGAAGCUCCAGCUUGCUGGAGUGGAUCAGUGGCGAACGGGUGAGUAACACGUGAGCAACCUGCCCCUGACUCUGGAAUAAGCGCUGGAAACGGCGUCUAAUACUGGAUACGAGAAGGGUCCGCAUGGGCACUUUCUGGAAAGUUUUUCGGUUGGGGAUGGGCUCGCGGCCUAUCAGCUUGUUGGUGAGGUAAUGGCUCACCAAGGCGACGACGGGUAGCCGGCCUGAGAGGGCGACCGGCCACACUGGGACUGAGACACGGCCCAGACUCCUACGGGAGGCAGCAGUGGGGAAUAUUGCACAAUGGGCGAAAGCCUGAUGCAGCGACGCCGCGUGAGGGAUGACGGCCUUCGGGUUGUAAACCUCUUUCAGCAGGGAAGAAGCGAAAGUGACGGUACCUGCAGAAGAAGCACCGGCUAACUACGUG
rnacentral:rRNA from 1 species